AGGUCUCCACUGCUGGGUUAUCACGGCUUAAGUGUCUGGCGACCAGAGCGAUGCGUCUAUUCGGGACGAAAACACAGCCUGAGACCUAGGUCCCUACUCGCCCACGGAGGAACGGGGGAAUUAAUGGCGCAACAGCCAAAGAAGGAUAUACAGAGUACGCAAAAAAAAAAAAAAUUAUGGGGAAGCUCCAUAGAGCUGCCUCAUCCGGAGACCGUUGCAAACUGCAGUGGCUUUUGUUGGCCAAAGGGAAAGAUAUUAAUGAAGUAGACGAUCUGAAGAGGACAGCUCUGCACCUGGCCUGUGCCAUCGGCUUCCCAGAUGAUGUGUGUCUCUCUUAGUAGAGAGACACUGUGAGCUGAACAGGUGUGACAACAACCACCACAACCCCUCAUCAAAGCGGUACAGUACCAGCAAGAGGAGUGUGUGAGCAUUCUGCUCCUCCAUGGGGCAGACCCUAAUGCUGUCAAUGACAAGGGACUCUCUGCCCUCCACUAUACAGCCUCUGGGCAUAAGUUGAACACUGCAGAGAGGCUGCUAGAAAAGAAGGCUCAUCGAGAGGCAAGAGAUGAGGUGAAAGCCGACUUUCUGAACCCUAAAGUGUUUUACCAGCUAAGAUGGAAAAUCAAGUAGUGUUGGGUUCCCAUGUCUUAUAACUCCCAUAUUCUUGGAAGUCUUUUGUUAUGGAAAACCACUUAAAAUAAUUCUGUAGUCCACCCUGAUUGCCCUCUGGAAUUGUUACAUUUUUAUUUGUGCUGGGUGGAAGAGCUGUCAUUUCAGUGGUGAUGGGGACUCCAGUGGCUUGGCAAUCUCAUCGUAGAGCAGAAACUUGUCACCUGGGUCCCUUCCCUUUUUAACCAUGAUUAUCUCUCUCAGAACUGAUACUACCUAUUUGUUAUUGGUCCUAAGGCAGAAGAAGAGCAAGGGUUAGGCAAUGGGGGUUAAGUGACUUGCUCAGGGUCAUGCGGCUAUAAAGUGUCUAACACCAGAUUGGAACCAAGAAUCUCCUUUCUGCAGGCCUGGCUCCCUAUCUACUGAGCCACAUCACUACCCUGAUCAUGAACAUUUUAAAAAUAGCCAGUUAUAUCUUUUUCCAAAGCAAUGGCUUCUUGGAAAACAUUUCUCUGAAAAGGGGAACAUGACACACAAAGGGUGAGGAAACUCUGCCUUAGGGAGUAUCCUGGAGCCCUGAAAAGUUUUGGGAUUUCCCAGUUUGGUCCUUCCAGUGUAGGGGGUGUCAGGGUCAGGCUGGACCCUCAGUGACUUUGGGGCCUGCUGUCUUUCUACUCCAUCACAGUUGGCUCCAGAAGGUUCUUUGGUAGAUGUAUGAGGUCGGCUCCACAGAAUUCCAUAGUUCCAUUGGAUAUUAACCUACAAUGCUUUACUCCAUGUAGGUCUGUACUUGGUAUAUUAAUUGAUCCUUUAUAUAUUCCAUGACUUUUUUCAAAACCUCUUAAAAAUUUGUUCCUACUAAGUAAAAAUCUACCCAGGCAGAAUUUUCAUGAGAGCCAAUCCUGAAGUGUAUGGGGCUUCCCCCCACCCUUUGUCUUCAAGACUGCAUCAUUUCCUUUCCUAGAAUUAUGGAACAAAUCCUCAUUUUUAGGAAGAGGCUUCACUCUUGGUCAGUGACACUUGAGAGAGAAAAAAGCUAAAGUAAUGUUCCUUAGGAGACUUGGGAGGAGAUGAAAAAUGCCAGGAGAAGUCCUUUCUUCCAGGCUGAUCCCCCUCAAGGCCAGACUUUCCUUACUUUUCAGGCAGACCAUACUCAAGGGGAAGGGGCCAAGAGAACUUGUCCCCUUCAAAGCCAAUCAGCAGGGUUCUGAGGGAACAGGGUUGGUUGCAUACCAGCAAUGACUAACCAUGAAACAAAGAUAGCAAUAAAGGAAGCCAGCCAUGAAAUGGUAUGAUAGCAUCUCUUCCCUAUUCUGGAUUGCCAUCUCCUGACAACAGGUUAUUAUCUGGAUGGAAUCUCAGAGGCUGUCUAAUCUCAUUCCCUCCAGUCAGUGCAAAGGAAACUAAGGCUCAGAGAAGCAAAGGGAUUUGCUUACAAUCACCCAGAAAGUAACUGAGAGGUGAUAUUGAUGCCCAGGUAUGCUCCCUCCAAAUUUCCAUGUGUAGCAUACUUCCUUGAGAUGACCUUAGCAAGUUCACUAGAUAGUCACCCGAUGUCUUUUUUUUUUCUAUUUGGAUUAGUUUAUUUAGUCAAUUAAGAACACUAUUCCUCGGUUACAAUAAUCACAUUAUUUCCCUCCCUCCCCUCCACCCACUCUAGCCAAAGUCAACUUGAAAUUUCACUGUGUAUUACUUGUGUCCUUGAUGAAAACCCAUUUCCAUGUUGUUGAUGUUUGCACUGCGAUGUUCAUUUAGUCUACAUCCCCAACCAUAUCCCUUUGAAUCAUGUAUUCAAGCAGUUGUAUUUCUUUGGUGUUUUUACUCCCAUACUGUUUCCUCUGAAUGUGGAUAGUGGUUUUUCUCGUAGAUUCCUCCUAGUUGUUCGGGAUCACUGUAUUGCCUCUAAUGGAGAAGUCCAUUCCCUUUGAUUGUACCACAGUGUAUCAGUCUCUGUGUUCAAUGUUUUCCUGGUUCUGCUCCUCUCACUCUGCAUCAAUUCCUGGAGGUUGUUCCAGUCCCCAUGGAAUUCCUCCACUUUAUUAUUCCUUUUAGCACAAUAGUAUUCCAUCACCAACAGAUACCACAAUUUGUUCAGCCAUUCCCCAAUUGAAGGGCAUCCCCUCAUUUUCCAGUUUUUGGCCACCACAAAGAGUGCAGCUAUGAAUAUUUUUGUACAUGUCUUUUUCCUUAUUAUCUCUUUAGGAUAUAAACCCAACAGUGCUAUGGCUGGAUCAAAGGGCAGACAGUCUUUUAUUGCCCUUUGGGCAUAGUUCCAUAUUGCCCUCCAGAAUGGUUUGAUCAAUUCACAAUUCCAGCAAUGCAUUAAUGUCCCCACUUUGCCACAUCCCCUCCAGCGUUCAUUACUUUCCUUUGCUGUCAUGUUAGCCAAUCUGCUAGAUGUGAGGUGAUAUCUCAGAGUUGUUUUGAUUUGCAUUUCUCUGAUUAUAGGAGAUUUGGAACACUUUUUCAUGUGUUUUUUAAUAGUUUUGAUUCCUUUAACUGAAAAUUGUCUAUUCAUGUCCUUUGCGCAUAUAUCAAUUGGAGAAUGGCUUGAUUUUUUUGUACAACUGGUUUAGCUCUUUAUAAAUUUGAGUAAUUAGACCUUUGACAGAGGUUUUUGUAAUGAAGAUUGUAUCCCAAUUUGUUGCUUCCCUUCUAAUUUUGGGUGCAUUAGUUUUGUUUGUACAAAAAAAAUUUAAUUUGAUGUAAUCAAAAUAAUUGAUUUUACAUUUUGUGAUUUUUUUCUAGCUCUUGCUUGGUUUUAAAGUCUUUCCUUUCCCAAAGAUCUGACAAGUAUACUAUUCUAUAUUCGCCUAAUUUGCUUAUAGUUUCCUUCUUUAUAUUCAGGUCAUUCACCCAUUCUGAGUUUAUCUUGCUGUAGGGUGUGAGAUAUUAAUCCAAACCUAAUCUCUCCCAUACUGUCUUCCAAUUUUCCCAGCAGUUUUUAUCAAAUAGUGGGUUUGGUCCCCAAAACUGAGAUCAUUGGGCUUAUCAUAGACUGUCUUGCUGAGGUCAUUUGCCCCAAGUCUAUUCUACUGAUCCUCCUUUUUUUCUCUUAGCCAGUACCAAAUUGUUUUGAUGACCACUGUUUUAUAGUAUAGUUUGAGAUCUGGGACUGUAAGUCCUCCUUCCUUUGCCUUGAAGAGACAAAGAUGAUGAAAGAUGAGGCAAACAAAAUGAAAGACGAGGCAGAGAAGAUGAAAGAUGACCUCCAAAGAAAAUCAGACCAGAAGGAGAAGGAUGACUAUAAAGCCAGGGAAGAAAUCCAGUUUUCAAAAUCCAGAAUACAACUAGAAGCAAGCAACUUCACAAGGCAGCAGGACACUAUAAUAUAAAAUAAAAAAAAAUGAAAAAAAAAAACAAGGAAAAUAUGAAGCACCUCAUUCACAAAACAGAAGAUUUAGAAAAUCAUUCCAAGAGAGACAACUUAAGAAUUACUGGUCUACCUAAAGACCAUGACAAAAGAAAAAUCCUGGACACAAUACUACAGGAAAUUAUUCAAGAAAACUGCCCCAAUAUUCUAGAACAAGAGGGAAAAGUGGAGAUUGAAAGAAUCCACAGAUUACCUCCUCUACUUUAUCCUCAACUGACAACACCCAGGAAUGUUAUAGCCAAAUUCAAGAACUAUCAGACCAAGGAAAAAAUAUUACAAGCUGAUAAGAACAAGUCAUUAAGAUACCAAGGAAACACAAUGAGAAUAACACAGGAACUGGCUGCAUCUACAAUGAAGGAUUGAAAGGCAUGGAAUAUGAUAUUCCAGAAAGCAAGGGAACUAGGUCUUCAACAAAGAAUCAAUUACGAGCAAAACUGACCAUAUUCUUACGGCAGAAGGUAUGGUCAUUAAAAAAAAUAGAAUAAUUUCAAGCAUUUGUAAAGAAAAGAAAAAGAAAAUUUGAUGCCCAAGCACAGAACUCAAAAGAAUCAUCAAAAGGUAAUUAAGAAAGAUAGAAAAAACAAAAAACAAAAAAUAGUGAAAGAAGAAAAGGCAGGACUAGAAGUAGAAAUCAAAAUGCUGGGAAACUCACAGCUGGUAAUCAUAAUUCUGAAUGUGAAUGGAAUGAACUCACCCAUAAAAUGCAAGUGAAUAGCAGAGUGGAUUAGAAUCCAAAACCCUGCCAUAUGCUUUUUAAAAGAAACACACAUGAGGAAAGUAGAUACACAUUGGGUGAAAGUAAGAGAAUGGAGCCAAAUCUAUUGGGCAUCAGCUGAUAAAAAGAAGGCAGGGGUAGCAAUCAUGAUAUCUGAUAAAGCCAAAGUAAAAAUAGAUCUAGUCAAAAGAGAUAGGGAAGGUAAUUACAUACUGAUAAAAGGCAGUAUAGACAAUGAGGAAAUAUCCGUACUCAACAUGUAUGCACCAAAUGGCAUAGCAUCCACAUUUCUAAAGGAGAAACUAGUGGAGCUCAAGGAAAAUAGAUAGAAAAACUAUACUAGUGGGAGACCCGAACCUUCCUCUAUCAGAACUAGAUAAAUCAAACCAAAAAAUAAGAAAGAGGUAAGAGAAGUGAAUGAAUCUUUGAAAAACUUGUGAAUCUUGAAAUUUCUCAGACUUGUGAAUGUUAAAAAUUUCCACAUUGGGGAAUUCUCAAUUGGAACCAUUCCCUACUGGGAACAUUCCCCAUUUUGAAUGUGAGAACUCUACUUGGAUCAGAAAUGGGAGGACCUCAACUCCACCUGUACUUAGGACUGCUUUAGGGGAAAAAACUCCUUGCUAAACAAUGAGGGUACUUCGGCCCACACUUAUAAUGAGGCAAAAAGUUCUUUAAGCCAUGCCUAUUUUUAGAAUUAAUACAAUGGGGUGCUAAGUACCUAUUAAAGGUCAGGCAACUUGUAAACUUGCCAGGAGCAAAGAGGUGAAAACUUAUUCAGAAGUUUUUUUCUGGUACAAACUUAUUAAAGGGAUUAGUCGACCCAACAGUGUUUUUUAGAAUGGGUUGUCCUUUGGAAAAUGUCUACAGUGAUUGGUAGAUGGAAGAACUUAGGGGAGGUGACAUAGGAGAAAACCCCCUAUAUAAGAAAAAGCAGAAUCUCUUGGCGAUCAAUCCUUUUGGAGGAUCACUUGAGGAGAGGCUCUGGAGAAGGGAAGCUCUUGGAGGACAAUCUCUAAGGAGGUCUUGCUGGAGCUCCUCUGAGGGGACUCUGUCCCUCUGGAGGCUCUUGAGAGAGGCCCUUUGAAACAGUCUCUGGCUGAAAGGCUCUUUGAGGAGGACUCUGGCUGGAACUCUCUCUGAGUAGACUCUGUCACUAGAAUCCUUGCUUAGACAGACCUUGUGUUGAGUGAUAAAAGACUGACUGACUGAUCUCUCUCUCCUAAGACUCAGGUCUAGGCCAUGUUGGAUUAAGACCCUUCAUACUUAUUUCCUUUUUCUCUCUUUCUCUCUUUUCUUUAAUUCCUCAUUGUAUUAUUAAUUAAAUUUUCUAUAAAACCCAGUUGACUUGGGUAUAUUCAUAAUUGGGAAUAUUUCCCUGGUGACCACCUUAUAUUUGAUUUAAAACAAGACACUGUGGUGAAAACAUAUUUCCUGCGGUCACAAAUUUACUCACCCACGCUUAUAUCUAUCACAAUUUAUAACUUCAACUAUUUUAAUUAUUACAGUUUAAGCCAUAUACUCCUUUAAAUGUAACAAACUAGAGUCAAUAGAUACAUGGAGAAAAAAUAAAUAGGGACAAAAAGGAAUACACCUUCUUUUCAGCAGCACAUUGGGAGUUCUUGUCCUUUAAAGUGUUAUUUUCUCUUUGAACUAUUUCCCACUUUUCUUGCCAGAAGGCUUCCAUCUUUUUGAUAAGCUCCAAUUUGAAUUCUUCAAGAGCUUGUGGACUAUUUCCAUUGUUUUUGGAAAGUUUUGGUGCAUUUUUAAAAAUUUCCUCCUCUAUUUCCUCUGUAGCCUGGGUUUUUCCUCUGUAAAAAUUUUCCAGGGUCAGUCCCUUCUUGUUUUUCUUGGAGGGAGGUUCUUGUUCCUGGGAACAAUUUGCCAUAACUGUGGGGGUUUUUCCUUCCCUUUAUAGUCAGAAAUCUGAGAUGGGCAGGCUUUCUGUGUAUGGAGUUAAGGAGCAAGGAUUUUGCCUGAGGCAAGCUCUCGGACCUCCACAGCUUCUGCUGUGUGCUGCCUUUCUCUGUGCUAUUUUCCCUCGAGUGCCCACAGUCUGCAAUCUUCAUCCUGCUGGGGUUUCAGGUAUAGCUGCUAGGGGUAGGGGUAGGUUUUUGAUGGUCUUCAUCUCCCAAGGACACCUAGAGGUGCCCCUUACUCACUCUAGAGGUGCCCCUCACUCACUUGCUGAUUCUGGUGCACGCUGGCUCUGACUUUGGUUCCAUAUGUGGGGUGGGGAAGGGUAGGUCAGCUUGUGUUUUGGUAGGAGCUUUUUCACCCCCUUAUAGUGUGGAAAUGCCCAAAUCCCACAUACUUUCAAUGCUACGCCCUACUGUAGAGUGCCUUCAUUCUUAUGAAUUUGUUUUGGGGGGGAGGGGACUUUUGAUGUAGUCUAUAUUGGUGGGUGCUGAGAAGAGGAUGAGUCUUGCAUGUAGACUGCCGCCAUAUUUACCCGGAACUCCUCAAAUGGAUUUUAAGGGGUCUUUAGAAAUGAUUUUUAGAUUUUUUUCAACAACUCAGAUCAUUUUACCUGCCUCUAACAGGAGAUAUGGUCCAUUUUAGUAGCUGAUGUGAAAUACAAUUAUAAUCCCCACCUCCCAUAUUUAUAAAAAUGUGAAUGGAUGUGAUAUCACAGUUUCAUACCAAAGAAGCUGAGAAGUUAAUCCCAGGGAAUUGUACCCCUGGAUGGCUCCCAAAAGGGAGCAUCUCUCAUUUAUAACUCUUCAGCUCACUUUACCCUUUCACCAGAAUGAUCUCUAGAUUAUGGGUGACAUUUUUAGACCCAAUAGCAGCAGUACAGGAGUUUGGUGUUUUUUCUAGAUUCCUCUGCUACAUUUUUGUAAUGAUGUCAGUAAUAUAUAUUUUUUUAAAUAUCUCAGCCAAGGUUGAAAUUGCUACACCUGAAAAACUUGUGACAAGUAUCUAUUUUCUUUUAAUGUAAUACAGUGGACUCAUGUAAAAUAGAAUAGUGGGUUUGUUUGCUAUUGUCAAUAAAUGGGCUAUUAUAACUUUUUGAAUGUGCAUUACCUGUUGUACUACUGUUCUUGAUGAAAAACUGUUACUUUGUGGAAAUCAUUUGCUUGUACUCACAGUGGAUCAUGGCCAGGUAUGAAGAGUAAAUGGAUCUUAUUUUGGGUGAGAAACCUUUGUAUUCUACAUUUCCUUAGCUGACACAGUGUGUCAAUGAUUAUAAGCUCUAUUUUUAGUUUUAAAACUUUUAUUAUUGUAUGUGCAAUAUACUAUUUCAGUUUUUAUUUUUUCUCUUUUUUAUAUUUGAAGCACAUGCCAACAGUAUUGAGAUUUUCUUUAACUUUUUUUUAUUUUUGCAGUAAUAUAAGUUUAAAAUAUAUUUGCUAAAAUAUGAAUGUAUGCCCCAAAAGCUUUAGGUUAUAAAAAAUAAUGCCAUUAGUUGUUUAAAAAAAUUUAUGGGACUUUGCUUAAUUAUUCUGUCUGAUUCCAGGACAAGAGAAUACAAAAAAAGAGCCAUUGAACAGUGCCAAAGAAGCACAAAGCUAAACUGCAUAGUGCCAAUUGAGCACAAGGUCAUAGAGACCAACCAAUCCUGAUGGGGUAAUGAAAACUUUGAGCCAUGACAAGAAGACUUGAAUGUGUUUGGGGUACGAGGUUGCGGCUGUUUAAAUAUGUUAAAGCCAGGUCUUCCUUGUUCCACAUUCUACCAAGUAUCUCAAAUUUGGCUCCUACCUGGCUCCUAAAAUUCUAGUCCCUAUUCUGUCUUUCAUAAUGUGGCAACCUUCUGUAGUCCUGGUGACUGAUUGGGUAAAUGCUUAAUUGCUUAUAUCAUUUUAAUUGGGCCCUGAUUCAAGGACCUGUUAUAGAUUUAUUUUUCCUAUACUUAGAAUUUUUACACAUAAGACUUUGAUAGUCUAUAUUUUCAUCCAGAAAUUAUCUUACCUCUAGCUAUUAACUCCUGACCUUCUUAACUCAGGGCCCAGCCCCUGCCUCAGGCCUCAGCAACUCUACUCCUGAUCUCCGGCCUCCAACCCAGAUGCUCAUCCAACCCCAGGCCCAGCCCCAGGACCCAGGCUGCUGGUAGCUGCCACUGUGUCUUUGGAAUCACAAACCAGCUGGCAAAAACUGGAGUGUUCAUUCCUUAGGCAACAAUUAGCUUCCAGGGGCAGGGUACCUGGGGAGGGGGGGGGGGUAAGGAGAAGGAAGAUACUCUUCCAAACAGGAAAUUGAUUACAAGCAUGACAUAUUCUAUUGAGAGAGCAGUGCAUUGCCUAUUUCAAACAGCUUCCAGCUUUAGGAUGUUUUUUUUUUCAUGAGUGCACUGAUCAUUUUACUUCUGUUUCCUGAGAUUCAGGGGAGAAAUUCAUCUCCCUGAAACUAUUUGCCAUUUGGGCCUGCCCAGUUUGGGAUUCCUAAAACCCAUCAUCUCCCUCAAUAUGGGAGAUUCCACAGUGCUGACAAAAGGAAUCUCAAUGGAUAAAAGAAGGAACUGAAGUUAUAUUUUUAAGACUUUUUCAGACUCCAAUGUUUUAUGAAAGUCUCUGUAUUUUAUUGUAUUUUGCUGAUUGUUUUAAGAUUCAAUUUUGUUAUUUUAAGUUCAUAUAUUAAUGCAUUCAAUACUAUUCUAUUACACUGAAUCAUUUCAAUGUACUGAGAUUUUACUACUGUUAUAUUCUGUUACCUUUCCCCUAUAACUAACUGUAAUGAACAAACAUUAUUGAAUAAGCCCAUAUAAAAAACAGGUUUGUUUGUUUUUUUUCCACUUUGUAACUUUUCACAUAGAGGAUGGAUGGGCUUCAUCAAACUGGUUACAAUUGUAUAACAAUGUUUGGAAAAUUUAAUGAGCUAAAUAUCUCAAAUUGAUUUUAAGGGGUCUUUAGAAAUGAUUUUUAGAUUUUUUCAACAACUUUUAUCAUUUUGCCUGCCUCUAACAGGAGAUAAGGUUCAUUUUAAUAGCUGAAGUGAAAUAAAAUUAUAAUUCCCACCUCCCACAUUUAUAAAAAUGUGAAUGGAUGGGACAUCACAGUCUCAUACCAAAGGACCUGGGAAGUUGAUCCCAGGAUAUGGUACCCCUGGAUGGUUCCCCAAAAGGGAGCAUCUCUCAUUUAUAACUCUUCAGUUCAUUUUACCCUUUUACCAGAAUGAUCUCUAGAUUCUUGGUGGUAUUUUUAGAUCCAACAUCAGCAGUACAGAUGUGUGCUUUUUUUCUAGACUCCUCUGCCACAUUUUGGUAAUGACAGCAGUAAUAGAAAUUUUAAGAAAAUAUCUCAGCCAAGGUUGAAACAUUGAUACACCUGAAAAAUUUGUGACAAGUAUCCAUUUUCUUUAAAUAUCAUACAGCAGGCUCAUGUAAAAUAUGAUAGUGGGUUUGUUUGCUAUUGUAAUUAACUGGGCUAUUGUGAAUUUUGGGGACUUUGAUACUUUUUGAAUGUGCAUUCCAUGCUAUACUACUGUUCAAAACUGUUACUUUGUGGAAAUCAUUUGCUUUGCACUCACAGUGGAUCAUGGCCAGGUAUGGAGAGGAAAUGGAUCUCAUUUUUGGUGAGAAACUUUUGUAUUCUACAUUUCCUUAGCUGACACACUAUGUCAAUGAUUAUAAGCUAUAUUUUUGAUUUUUAAAACUCUUUUAUUAUUGUUUUUGCUUGCAUGUGCAAUAUACAAUUUCAUUUUUUUAAUUUUUUCUCUCCUUUUUGUAUUUAAAGCACGUCACCAGUAUUGAGAUUUUAAUUUUUUUUAAUUUAAUAUAAGUUUAAAAUACAUUUGCUGUAAUGUCAAUGCAUACCCCAAAAGAUUAAGACUAUAAAAAUGAUGUCACUGAUUGUUUAAAAAAAUUAUGGGACUUUGCUUAAUGAUUCUGUCUGAUUCUAGGACAAGAGAAUACAAAAGAGCCAUUGCACAGUGCCAAAGAAGCACGAAGCUAAACUGCAUAGUGCCAAUCGAGCACAAUGGAAUUGAUGAAAAUUUUGAGCCAAGACAAGAGGACUUGAACUAGUUUGGGGUUCGAGGUUGUGGCUGUUUAACAUGUAUUAAAGGCAGGUUAUCCUUGUCCCACAUUCUACCAAGUAUCUCAAAUUUGGCUCCUAUAAUCUAGUCCCUUUUUUCUUUCGUAGUGUGGCAAGCUUUCUAUAGUCCUGGCUACUGAUUGGGUAAAUACAUACUUGCUUAAAUCACUUUAAUUGGGCCCUGAUUCAAGGACCUAGUAUAGAUUUAUUUUUCCUUUACUUACAAUUUUUACACAUAAGACUUUGAUAGUUUAUAUUUUCAUCCAGAAAUUAUCUUUUUUAUUUGGAUUUUAAAAAUAUUUUUUUUAUUUCUCUUGCCAAUUGACUCAUACACUUUGUAACUCAGGCAUGCAUCCCUAAGUGAUCCCUGUAUUUUUCAGUCACCCUCUUCAGGGGGGAUGUAUAAUAAUUAUUAUUAUUUUAAAUUGCAAAGCUUAAAUUCCUUUUGAGAGUAAUUUUAGGUUAAGAAACAUGAUACCUCUCCGAAUCCAGAAAGUGAACUGUUUAGAGAAGGCACCAUGAAGAUGCCUCCACAGACAACACUCUGCACCAGAAGAUCCUGAGUGAACUUUGGGAUGUGAUUAUUUGAACUGUGUGGGGUUUGAAUGCAUUUGUUUUGUAUGUAUACUCAUACUAAAGGGGACUGCCCCCAACUGGCUUUUAGUCAAUGUGCCUAGUAAUUAUUAGUUAUGUUCUAUUUUUCUCUUAUCGUCAAAUUAUUGUAAUUUCAUAGCUUGUAUGUUUACAAGACACACUGGAGACUGGAGAUUUUGAACCCUAGACUUUAUUCACCAGAAGUCCUUGGUAUUUCCCAGAAUUCCCUAUAAUCUCUCCGGAGUCUCCACUUUGGCGAGAUCACAAUUGGUAUUUAAUUGACAGUAACUCCUCCCACACUCUCUUCCUUUACAAUGAUGCAGCAAGUAUAAUGGUAAGCUAAGUGAGGGGAUUUUUAAAUGGGCUAAUCAGCCAUGGGCACGUGGUUUUUAUUUUGUAUCAUCUGUAUUCCCUGAUUUCUAAUGAUCCUUAAUAAACCUUAUAAAAUAUAAUAUUUUUAUUAUUAGAGAUAUACAUUUAAUUUUUACACUUCCAUCUUGGAGGAGGUCCCAUGGUUACUCACUACUGGCCUUCCCAGUUGAGAGCUAAUUAAUCUCUGCCUGGAUUAAGAUAGGAUAGAUAACCUCUCUAACCCCCUCACAUUUCUCUUCUUUAUUGUUUCUUCUCUAUUUGCAUGUAUUUGUAAAUAAAUUUCUGAUUCACAAUUUAAUAAAUGCUGCUGACCACAAAAUUUCAUAAUUCAUAAUUCCCCAACCAUUAAAUUUAGCCCUUACACUAGCAAAGGCAAUAAAAUAAGAGAAAGAAAUUAAAGGAAUACGGAUUGGUAAAGAGGACAUGAAACUUUUCCUUUUUGCUGGUGAUCUGAUGGUUUACUCGGAAAAUCCUAGGAAAUCAGCAAAAAUAACAGAUAAGAUAAUGAACAACUUUAGCAAAGUUAUAGGCUAUAAAAAAAUCCUCAAAAACUAAUUACAUUAAAAUAAGAGCUAUCCUCCAAUUAAUAAAUGGGCAAAAGAUAUGAACAGACAAUUUUCAGAUGAAGAAAGCAAAGCAUCAGAUUAGCUAAAAUGUCAAAGAGGCAAAAUUGCAAAUGUUGGAGGGGAUGUGGAAAAAUAGCAACACUAAUACACUGUUGGUGGUGUGAAUUUUAGAUUUCCUCCAUUUUGCUUAGUCUAGCACCCAGGAAUGUAUACAUCCACACCACACUGGCAUGUGCUAGCAAGUGACAAAUCAGAAGCAACUGACUGUCUCCUGUACUAUCCUAAGCUAAGGUUGAGCCACCAUUGGCACAUGUGAAAUGCAUGAAGUGAUGUAGAGAACUGCCUUUGUAUUUCACAUCACUUCCUGUGGGGAGUGCUGGGUACCAGUUGCCCCUGGAACUCAAGCCUGGAGGAGUUUCUCAGACGGCUUCCUUGAGACGGUCACAUGGUGAGUGAUAAGACUGACUCCCCUUUCCCUUGGCUCUCUGGGGAGGCCACUUUGGCCAAGGCCUUUGAACUCCUCCCUGGCUCAGCCUGAGCUGGAGCAGUUUAAAUUAUCUCUUUUUUUCCUCUCUCUUUCAUUCUUAAUUUCUUCCUCUUAUUGUAAAUAAAUCACCAUAAAAUUCCAUUCUGACUUGAGUGUUUCAUUGGGAUUUAGAAAUUAAAUCCCUGGCAACCAACUAAAUUUAUAUUCAGUCUCAACCCUAAAUUUACCCUUUAAAGUGGAACUGUAAACUGAUCCAAUCAUUUUAGAAAGUAAUUUGAAAUUUUACCCAGAGUUAUAAAACUAUGUAAGGAGAACAGAGAAAAAAUAAAUGAACCUUGGAAAUAAAUGUUCCAAAUAUUUAUACCAAUUCUCUUUGGGUUGGCAAAGAAGUAGAAAUGGAGGGAGUGUCUAUUAAUUGGGGAAUGGCUAAGCAAAUUGUGGCAUACGAUUAUGAUGUAACACUACUGCACCAUAAGAAAUAAUGAGCAAACUAAUUUAAAAAAUUUUUUUAAACUUGAAAAGAACAAAUAGGAAUUAACAGUGAAAUGAGUAGAAUCAAGAGUACAUCAUACAUGACUUACAGAUUUAACAUUUAAAGAAUAACUUGUGAAUGUCAACUCCAGAGAAUCAACUGAUAAAUUUAAACAUGAAACUUGUAAUCUCUACAUACAUAUGUCACCUGGAUGAUGUCUUCUAUGAUUCAGGAAAGUUUGGAUGUGUUUGCUUAUUUGUCACUUUCUGCUGUUGCUUCUGUAGUUUGCUCUUUUUCUCCAUAGAAAUUAUCCAGGGUCAAGAGCUUUUAUUGUUGCUGCUUAUUCCUUUUGCCACUGUUGAUUGGGGUUCCUCCAUAUUGAUUGUUUUCUUAGCUUCUGUCUCUCAGGGCUUUGCCUUGAUAGUAUAUUCCCUUCCCAGUCAGAAGCCCUACCAAUGGCAGGUAAUGCAGUGUUUUUUGUGUAGGGCACUUUAAAGCAUUUUGCCCUGAGAUUAUCUUUCCAGACUCUACUGCCUCAGCUUUGUCCAGCCUUGUUUUUGCCCAAAGCUCCACUUUUCACUUUUCAACCUUGGAUCUCAAGUCUUGCUGUCAAGGCCUUGCACUGCCCUCAGGGGCAAGUUUGUGCUGCUUUCAGCCAGCCCCUGAGAAUUUAGAGAUUGCCAUGCCCUCACUCUGACUCUGGCCUAAUAGGUGGUAUGGGGCAGGGAUGAUCAACUUGCACUUUGAUAAGUGCAGUUUCACACCUUUAUUGUGUGGGAAUCCCUAAACACCACCUACCUUUAAGUCUACAUCCAGUGGGAGAGCCCCUUUAGUCAUCCAAUUUUGAUUUCUGUCCUUUUGAGACUCUUUGGAAUGAUCAGUUGGAAGGAGAUUCAGAAGGUUCCUGUUACUAUGCUGCCAUCUUAGCUCCACCU